rnacentral:pre_miRNA from 1 species
AGUGUACUCCCUCCGUUCCAAAAUACUUGACUUCCAUUUGUCCAAAAAUGGAUGUGCCUGUAUACUAAAACAUGUCUAGAUACGUAUAUAUUUUGAUAAAUAGAAGGCAUGUAUUGUGCAACGGAGGGAGUAGAAU